UCUCCUAAAAUCUCCCUUUCUCAUUUACGUGCUACCCCCUCCCAGAAACUUUUGCCCUCAUUCCUGAUCGCUUACAAAGUGCCAUAUCCAUCUCCAGGUAUCGAAUUUACAAUACGAGAUCUGCUAGCACAAUGAUAUAUCGCACAUAUGUGCAAUUAUUUACUUCGGAAUUCGGAUAGUUUGUAAUUUGGUCGAAAUUCAAAAAUGAAGUUAUGUAGACGUAGCACUUCAAAAGGCUGUUUGGCAAGGAGACAAGUCGAGCAAAGUUGUGACGAUUCAAGCAUCUACAAAUUAUCCAACUCGUCGGCCGGAAUUCUAACAUAUAUUAUACAUAUAUAUAUUGUUAUAUGAUAGCAUUUGGAUCUUUACUAUAAUUUUUAUUAUGUGUUCUUGUGUAAACCUUGAUGUAUAAGAGAUAAUGAAUCAUGUAUUCAAGUCCAUUUUCCAGAAUAAUGAUAUGUGUCAAGAUUGAGUUUU